GACGAACGCUGGCGGCGUGCUUAACACAUGCAAGUCGAACGGAAAGGCCCUGCUUUUGUGGGGUGCUCGAGUGGCGAACGGGUGAGUAACACGUGAGUAACCUGCCCUUGACUUUGGGAUAACUUCAGGAAACUGGGGCUAAUACCGGAUAGGAGCUCCUGCUGCAUGGUGGGGGUUGGAAAGUUUCGGCGGUUGGGGAUGGACUCGCGGCUUAUCAGCUUGUUGGUGGGGUAGUGGCUUACCAAGGCUUUGACGGGUAGCCGGCCUGGGAGGGUGACCGGCCACAUGGGGACUGAGGUACGGCCCAGACUCCUACGGGAGGCAGCAGUGGGGAAUAUUGCACAAUGGGCGGAAGCCUGAUGCAGCAACGCCGCGUGCGGGAUGCCGGCCUUCUGGUUGUAAACCGCUUUCGCCUGUGCCGAAGCGUGAGUGACGGUAAUGGGUAAAGAAGCACCGGCUAACUACGUG
rnacentral:rRNA from 1 species